UUAAAUGAUUAUCUCAGGUCAUUAUUGUUCCUCACACACGUGUUGAUAGUGAUUAAUGUAAUCCGAUUUUUCAUGCGCUCAGCAUGGGAUACUGCUGAAACCUUCUCUUAUCUUUGGUAUGUUAGGAAUGCAAUACGUCACGAUGCUAAUGACGUGCAAUAGAUGCCGGCGCAUCCUACUUGUUGUAAACAUCCGGUAAAUUGUAAACAAACGCACGUGCAUUUGUUGAUAACAGUAGUUGUGAAAGUUUAAGUAUUACAGUUGUAUUGUAUUUUAUAGUUCUGUAUAUCUUUUGUAAUCAGUUAGGUUUAGUUAUUAUAUUAGUUGUUAUUUGUUUAAACAGGUAUAGAGAAAUAUCAUUACGUAACAGAAGAAGUUGUAUUUUUGAUCAAUUGUACCAUACGCUGAGGGUAUGUUUUUGUUUGAAAUAUAUCUUACAUAAAUAAUGAUUUGUCUUUUCACUUUAUUUCUUUAAUGAUAUUAUUAAUUUAAAAUAACUGGAUGAUGGG
rnacentral:lncRNA from 1 species